AUGUUUUUUUGUUGUCAGACGGAGGGUCUUUGUUCCAAUGACAGCGUCAUCAUUCAGACGGUCACCUCUGACCACAGCUCUACAGAGCCUCUUUGCCAAUCACAGCUGGUUGUGGAGAUGCAGGGGGAGGAGCCAGAGCAGAACUUCCUGAUUGGUUCCUCACAAGGCGGAGCCACCGAGACUCUGGAGCCAAUGACAGACAGCUUUACUGCCAAGGUCCUGGACUCUCCCUCUCAGGAGCAGGCGGUGGAUUCUGGGAUAGCGAAGGGGGCGGUGCUUAUCGUUUCUCCUACAAAUGUCAGCAGCACACUGACAGAUCUGAUCCUGGAGAACCAGCAUGGCUCUGACUGAGCUGGAUGACAUCAUCACUGAUGGAGCCCAUCAAACAGCAGAGUGGACAUGUCAUAAUUUUGGACAUUAUUUCUGAUUGGCUGAGUUGGCCAUUAAGCCCCUCCCCUUUAAAUGUUUUCUUGGGUAUGGCAGUAAUACUGGUAUGUACACCGCCUUCAAACCCCAACCAAGAAGAAGUUAUUUUGGGUCAGAGGUGAGACUAUGAUGUCAUUGUGGGCUCCUGUGGGGGCCGGCCUGACCGUGUGUGUGAGAGAGAGUGUGUUGCAGAACGGCUUUUCCAAACUGUCCAUUAUAAAGACUGCAGCCAGAGCCACAGAUAUACACUGAGUGGACAAAGAACUUCCUAAUAUUGAGUUGCAACCCCAUGUCAGAAGGCUAUAAAAUCCUUAUUUAACCUGUCUCCUCUCCUUCAUCUACCCUGAAGGGGAUUUAACCUGUCUCCUCUCCUUCAUCUACUCUGAAGUGGAUUUAAUAAGGGAUCCUAUCACCUGGUCAGUCUGUCAUGAAUAUUGUUGUUAAUGUUUUGUCCACUCAGUGUCAUUGUAGAUUCUCUGGUUGCUCCGCCUCAGAACAGCAUCCUACAGUUUGUAGGUCCCAGUGUUUCUGUUGGAACCGUCUGCCUACUGACCCCACAAAGAACAGGACAGAUUCUCAUUCAUCUGACACUGUGAAUUAUAUCUGCAUUUAGUUUAUUUAUGUGUAAUAAAAACUCCCACAGUUGCUACUCUGGUGUGUUUUAGUACUGCCUAACGAUCGUCCGACACUUUAUCCCCGGUUAUACCUGGUCCUUUGUCCUGAUCUUGUCCACAUUCUGAUUUAAAAUUUUGAGACAGGUGUUGGCAGGUUUACAUUGACCUGGGUUUACCAAUAUUGCGAAGGGUAUUCCUACCCAGGCCUGCAACAUUCAGGCCCUACCCUACCCAUGCCUGCAACAUUCCAGACCUGCCCUACCCAUGCCUGCAACAUUCAGGCCCUACCCAGGCCUGCAACAUUCAGGCCCUACCCUACCCAGGCCUGCAACAUUCAGGCCCUACCCUACCCAUGCCUGCAACAUUCAGGCCCUACCCUACCCAGGCCUGUAACAUUCAGGCCUUACCCUACCCAUGCCUGCAACAUUCAGGCCUUACCCUACCCAUGCCUGCAACAUUCAGGCCUUACCCUACCCAUGCCUGCAACAUUCAGGCCCUAUCCUACCCAGGCCUGUAACAUUCAGGCCCUACCCAGGGCUAAUUGCUUCUGCCAAAUGUAAAGAUGGAAACCAGAAAUAACUUCCACUGUUUAGUAAAUCUAUUAGCUGCUCCUCUGUCUGUCACUCAC
ensembl:lncRNA